CACGUAGGGUGCGAGCGUUGUCCGGAAUUAUUGGGCGUAAAGAGCUCGUAGGCGGUGUGUCACGUCGGCCGUGAAAACCUGCAGCUUAACUGUGGGCGUGCGGUCGAUACGGGGCAUCACUGGAGUUCGGCAGGGGAGACUGGAAUUCCUGGUGUAGCGGUGAAAUGCGCAGAUAUCAGGAGGAACACCGGUGGCGAAGGCGGGUCUCUGGGCCGAUACUGACGCUGGAGGAGCGAAAGCGUGGGGAGCAAACAGG
rnacentral:rRNA from 1 species